GCCGCGGUAGCCCAACGGCAGAGGCAGCCGCCUCAAGCACGGCACAGUGCGGGUUCGAAUCCCGCUCGCGGCA
rnacentral:tRNA from 1 species